UAUACAUGUAUAUAUAUGUAUAUAUACACACACACAUAUAUAUACAUGUAUAUAUGUUUACGUAUACAUAAUAUAUAUGUUUGUUUAUGUAUGUGUAUAUAUACACAUGUAUGUUAAUGUAAGAAAGGAGAAUGCCUCCUGUAAUGCUUUUCAUUAUGAGAAAGGUGCUAUGAUGGCUAUGAUGAGUCACCCUAAAGUUGUAAAGCAUCAUUUUAGAGGAAAUAAAGAUCUCUCUUCCUGUGCUUGCCCUUCAGGAUCUCUGGAUGGUGUCAAAGCCUUCUACCCACUUCCGGAAAAAGAACUAGUCAGCUAGUAAAAUCUGGGCCUAGUGAUAUUCCUUCUCUUCCCUCUGAUACUUGGAAAUAGUAUCAGAACUCACUAAAUAGGAAGUCACCAGUGUGUUCAGGUAUGUGAGAUCGUAUCUUGCCUUGGCAGCCAGGAAGUGAAUUAGUAGCACCAUGUAUUAUUUUUCUCUGCAGAAAGUGAUUUAAGCUGUUACGAAAUUUGAGAUCAUGUAAGGUUUCGAAGUGAUGGUCAUCUUACAUGGAGAUAAAUGUCCUUCCAUUUAGGACUGCUUUUGAUGGGUUGAGAAGUGUUAGGUAUCAAUUACAGUGAUAAGGAUAAUGCAUUAAUGUAUAUGGGAGCUCUCCCUCAGAUGCUCCAACCGAUGAAACGUGGAUAGUUCAGAGACUCCUCUGCUAUUUUUGGACUGUAGCAACAUCUUAAUGUCUAUUUUUUCCCCUUGAAAUCUAGGCCAUAAAGGCACAUUGGUACAGUGUGUGCAUAUGUGUGUGUGAGCACACGUGCUGCUUUUAUUCUCUACUUUGAAUUCACUUUGCAGGGUACUAGGUUAGAAUUUUCCUAACAACCUAGUCCACAACUACCAAAGAAAGACAUUUUCAGCUUGAGUGAAAAGUUUCUUUUAUUUCAUCUGUUCACAACAUUCUGAAGAUUUGGAGCGUGUAUUUGUUAAAUACCUUAUUAUCUGUUAAUAUAUUCCAUCAAAUAUUGUUAACAGUUUCUAAACAAGUACCCUUUUAUAUACAACCUUAAAUCUAUGGUAUAUCCUUUUUUUUUUUUUUUUUUCUUUUCUAUACCUUCAGAAUGAUUGUUCCCUUCUUUGAAAUAUGAACUCCCAGGGGCGCCUGGGGGUGCUCACUCAGUUAGGCUUCCAACUCUUGAUCUCAGCUCAGGUCUUGAUUUCAGGGUCAUGGGUUCGGGUCCCACAUUGGGCUCUGGGCUGGGAAGGAGGCCUACUUAAAAAAAAAAAAAAAAAAGACAUAGGAACUCCCAGAUAAAAGCCAAUUUGUUUUUACAUAUGACUCUCUUCCUCAGCAGAUUUUUUGUCCUCUAUUAGAGGGCAAAGUCCUUUUAGAAUGUAAAACUUGUAUCAAGUUUAGCUACCUCUUAAAUGACUUUCUGUCGCAGACUUCCGUAACAGUAAUUAGAAAAGACAACACAUUUGAAAAUCAAAAGUAUUCAUUUGUGAGUCACAUGAAAACAUAGCUUGCAGUGGAUAGGCAUGGUGGUGGCUUUUAUUUGGUUGGUUAAGAAUCCUAUGUGUUCAUUCCCAUUAGAUGAGGUUCAGGAGCAAUAAACUUAAUACUUAAAUUUUGGAAUCAUUGGCAAGUAUUUCUGCACAAUGAUCAAAGCUUGAAUGGAGGUUAAGCAAAAGAAUACCGAGUACAAAAUAGGUAUGUAUUUAAAAGUCAGCUGAUACAUUUAUAUUCAUUUAUUAUUCAUAUGGUGUCUGUCUCCAUAAAGGAUUUCACGUGGUUUACAAUAAAAGACAGACAUGAGACACAAUCUUUAGAAAUAGGGCAAGAGGACAAGAGCUAAAUAGAGGAGUAGCUAUUAACUCAUUACCUCUAACAUAUGGAAUAGUUAUAAAACCUAAGCUAUGGGUUUUGAACAAAACUCAUACAUGAAAAUGCAACAGAUUUCAUGGCUCUUAUUCACAAAGUUAUUAUCUUAUUAGGAGAUACAAGCCUUUUAUUUAUCUCAAUAUUAAGAGUAACAAGGUGGAUUUUUAUACUAGGCACACUAAACAACGUCUUUUUGUAGUGACGGUUAUUUUAAAAUGCAGAAAUUUGUUCCCAAAUGGUAGGAUGUAAACUCUGCAGGUGGAAGAAAUAGAGCAAGGGAAUUUUCCACUGGCUGUCCACUUUUUGGCUCUUCCUUGAGGCACUUUCUUGUUUUGUUUUUGUUACUAAUGAUGAAUGUGAAAUGUUUGCAGUAUCUCCACAUGCUCAAGAAUUAUUAGAAGCAUUAAUUACUACAGGACAGACUUGUAUUUUUCUGGUAUUAAAUCAGUUCUCUUCUGAUAUAAAUAUCAUUGAGAACAUUAGCUUUUCUUACCUUUUCCUAUUGUUGUUACAGGUAAUGAAAGAAUUGUCUUGUUUUUAGUGUUUCAUGUCCGGAAGAAUACGGGUUUUAAUGAAUCACAGGCGUUUGGAAGAUGUGUACUCCCAUAUUUCACCCUCAGUGCUUCAUGGGAAGUGUUGCUUAAGUCCUAAGUAAAACAAGCUUUACACCGGUGUCCCACUAACUGGGAAUUUGCUAGGAGGGUAUUUUACCUAUACCAAAUUUCCUAAGCUCUAAAUUCCCAAACGUUAGAUCUAGUCAUCCUUGAUCCCUCUCUUUCCUUCAUGGCCCACAUCCAGUCCAUUUGAAAAAUCAUCAGGAUGCACUCUUUAAAGUAUCUCCAGAUUUUGCCUACUCACCACUUCCUCUACUACCAUGCUGGCCAUGCUACCAUCUUCCCUUGCCUGGACUACAGCCUUACUUUCCCAAUUGGUCUUCCUGCUCCUACAGCUUCCCCACAAACUAUAUCUAUCCUCUCUACAUAGCUAGGCUGACCCGUUAAAAUGUAAGGCAGAUAAUGUCAUUUUCCAGUGUUUUCUAAUGUCACGCAGAGUUGAGAUUACCGUGGCCUUCACCAUGUGAUCCAUUUCCUUUCUACCUCCCUGACAUGACCUUUCUCCUCUCCUGUCCAAACACUGGUCUCCUUGUUUUUUCAACAUACCAGUAAACUUCCCCUUCACAGGGGAAGUUUGUACUUUCUGUUGUCACUUGAGUCUGGACAUUAUUGAGCUAUUCCAGGUUCCGUGAUUCACUCUCUCACAUCCUUUGUACCAAUGUGACCUAAUUCAGAAAGUCUACCCCUGACCAUGUAAAAGACCAUUCGAUUCCAUCAUGCCCCCCUCCAACUGACUUUUCUCCAUUGUACUUACAUAACAUACAUUUAUUCACUUGUACUCUGUUUCCCUUCCCUAGCAGCAUAUGAGCUCCUUGGGGAAGGUGUUAGAUUUGUUCCCUGAUGUUUGCCCAGUGCCUAGAAGUUCCUUUUUUAUAAACAGAUGCUCAAGAAAUAUUUCUAGAAUGAAUAAAGUGAUCAUCUCAUAUUUGAGAGCCCAACUUAAAAUCUGAGACUACUAGAAUGUAUUAGCACGUAAGGUGAUUUUAGAGCAGUGGUUACCAGGGACUCAGAAAUUUGUGCUUAAAAAUAAAACCAAGAUAAUUUUGAUAUAGAUCGAACGAAGAUUUUAUGAGGCUGAGGCUUAAUAAUUUGCAUUUUUAACAGUCUCCACAGGUGAUUCCUUUGCAGGUAUAAGAUUUAGUACCAUUAUUAUAGAAAUUAGAGUAUGGGAUCUAUAUCUGCUUGCUUCAGACAUUGUAUUACCUGCCUGAUCCUGAAAGCAUUUGAGCUGAAGUACCUUGAUAUGGAAUCUGUACCAGUCAGUGCUUCUUAACCUUGGCUUCAUAUCGUAAUCAUCUGGGGAAAGAGCUCUCAAGGCAUCAGAUCCUUGGAUGUCCCCCCUCAGCUGUUGUUUAAGACUGCAUGGAUUCAAUCUCCGGCUGCACUUCUCACUGGCUUUUUGACCUUAGGCAGCCACAUGACAGCCAUGAAGAAAGUGACACUUCGCUACAGAUAACAUGCCGGCAUAUGGGCGGAUGGAUCCCUGUGUGACUGGAAUGGAUUUAUCAACUGAAGGAACCAGAGCACCAAAGUGUUAAGCGACUUUGCGUAGCUAAUGGUCCUGGAGCCUGGGAAAAACAGAUCGCAGAGGUCAGCCUCCCUGGAUACAAAGCAGAAGGGGGUACAAGAACAGGCAUGACCGGAGCAGGCACAGAGGGCAUGCAAUUCAAGUGGUUUCCAAAAGUGGGGGUGGAUUCGCACUGGGCAGCGCACGCUGUUUCUCCUGUGAGUCCCUUACCCUCACUGUUCUCAUCCUGUGGGACAGCAAAAGGGAGGCGUGCAGCAAUGAUGUCAGAGCCCCUUGGAGCUUAAAUCAAUGACACUUAUCUCACUGAUAAUACUGCGUCCUGUCAAACAAACCAAGCCACAUAGAAAGUGACUUAUUUUCCAUAGCUUCUUUUUGGAAAAAAACGUACAUUGCCUCUUCACCAUGUACCUUAGCAACAGCCACAGAGAAUACUUUCGGACUAUGGUAGUACAAAAGAAUUCCCUAAUUAAGAAAUGUAUUUAUUCAAAAAAAAGUGUUUAUUUAUUCUCUUAGUUUUUUAAUUUAUAGUUUUAUUUAUGUGUGGCACAUGGAACAAUUGAACUAAAAUGAAAAUACAGAAAACAGUUAAAUGAUGCUGAGUUUGGAACUUGAAAGUUGGAUAUCAAUCAAAGGGAAAAAAAGCCAGUAAACUACAUUAGUUGCACUGCUAUGCAAAAAUAAUUAAAUCAACCUCAAGGAAACCAUGCUAUGACAUGUACAAAAACUACAUUAAUAGCAAUGGCAUAGGACAGUCUGCUGUUCAGGAAAAGAUUCAGUAUAGACAUCAAUUACAUGCAAGAUGCUUCAUGACUUGACAGCAAAUAUUUUCUGCCUGUUUUCCUGCUACUUUCUCAUAUAUAUCCCCUACAUCAUUUUGCAGUACCUUAGGUUUUGAAUCAAGCAGCAUUCUUUAAUAUAGAGGUAAUGCCUUUAAGUUUCUAAAGAAUGUUCAAGUAUUUUAGAAGGGAAAAGGAACAUUUUUCAAUACAAGAUGACAUGGUGUAUAAGUGUGUAUUAGAAUAUGUUAACCAACUGAUCAAGAAAUAUUUAUAGGGAGCCAACAUAUCCAAAGCCUUUGUGAAAGGCACUGGACAAUAUAAAUAGGUGUAAGACUAUAGAUGUUUAUUGGGGAAGCUUACAGCCUAUUUGUGGAGCAAGGUAUGGGACUGACAAGUAGUGCAAAGAAAGUACUGUAGAAAUUCCUGUGUCAGAUAAAACCAGAUCUGAUCACACUUCUUAGGCUUAGAAACUGUUAGUCAAUAGGAUUUGAGUUCAGCCUCCUUAAAAAGACAUACAAGGGACUUCAUCAGUGGUUACAAAUAUUUUCUCCAUCUUUGCCAGUUACCUUUACCACCUCACAUUUACCCUUCUCUGCACUAGGUUUCU